AACGAACGCUGGCGGCAUGCCUAACACAUGCAAGUCGAACGAGACCUUCGGGUCUAGUGGCGCACGGGUGCGUAACGCGUGGGAACCUGCCCUUAGGCUCGGAAUAACUCUCCGAAAGGGGUGCUAAUACCGGAUAAUGUCUUCGGACCACAGAUUUAUCGUCUGUGGAGGGGCCCGCGUUGGAUUAGCUUGUUGGUAGGGUAAAAGCCUACCAAGGCGACGAUCCAUAGCUGGUCUGAGAGGAUGAUCAGCCACACUGGGACUGAGACACGGCCCAGACUCCUACGGGAGGCAGCAGUGGGGAAUAUUGGACAAUGGGCGGAAGGCUGAUCCAGCAAUGCCGGGUGAGUGAUGUAGGCCUUAGGGUUGUAAAGCUCUUUUACCCGGGAUGAUAAUGACAGUACCGGGAGAAUAAGCUCCGGCUAACUCCGUG
rnacentral:rRNA from 1 species